AAGUCUUACCAGACAGCAGAACUUCAUACAAUGUGUCUUUGCCGGUGGAUGCUUCUACUGAAUGUGAUUAUGACUGGAGUUACAACGGGACCAAUAUUGCCCAAGAUGGAGGAUAUCUGAGAGGUGUUGUUUUAGAGAACAAACGUGACUUCAUGAUCCUACCAUCAUGCCAGUCCCCAGUUCUGUAUUGGGCUCAAUGCAAUGAGGCAUUGGUAAGUUAACCGACUGCAUUUACACCUGAGAAGAUGUACAGAUCCUCACUACCUAACAAUUUAAUUUCCUUCUGUUUCAAAGUCCUCUUAUCGGACAUGCUGUAUGUUUUUGUUGACACAGGAGACAUAUGAUGCCAUGUGUUACUUUAACUGUUCAGUGAUUGACGUUCCCAAUUCAGCAUUUGGUGUGCCACUCCCUUCCUACCACCUACUUGCCUCCAUUGCAUUUCUCUUCACUCUUUGUGGCUGAGGUAGGCACUUAGAAACUUGGUGAAAUUAUUUGUGAUCUCCGGUCCUUCCCUGGAUUCAGUCUUCCGAAGUGACCCAGGACCUGCUGCUGAGCCAUUUGAAAAACUUUCACAACACACUUGCCAGUCAAGCCUCCUUGUGGAAACUACUACGAGGAAGUCAAGUUGUCAUUCAUUCACUUCUACAGUACCUAACCAAUCACACCUAGAAAGCCGCACUAGGAAGCCACACUGCCUACACCAUUCAUUUAAUUGCCAUAUCACCAGAACGUUGACACAUAUUUUAAAACUUCUGCUUCUAACCUCUCUGCAACUUUCAGUACGCUGACUUCAACGCAUCCACCUUCACCACACUGCCACCAGUUGGUCCCUGUCUUGAGCUUAUGCUGGGGGGUAGGCUCCUUGCCCCUGCCUUCCUCAGCUGGCAGGAUCCGAGACCUCCGCACAGCUUGCCAAUUUAUUGGCAGGGGCCUACAGUACGCCAAAGACGUAGAAGUCAGAAGAAGAAGAAGUCAGAUCGCUAUU